CAUUAACUAGCCAACUUCGUUACGUAACUGCUGUAUUAUAUUCAACUAACUAUUAAUUUUACUUCUUUUAAAAAAACUAUUAAUUUUGCUAUGUCUUUAUCAGCAUUGAAGGCUCCAACGUUACGAAAGGAAAGACGCGUCCCCCCACUCCAAUUAAGAUUUGUAUAAUUCUAUUUAUGACAUGCAAUUCUGUUACUUCAUUGUUUCUUUUCUAAAUAUGUGGAUAUGUUAAUAGGAAUACGUGUAUACAUUACUUAACUUAAUAUUUACAGGUGUUAUGGCUGUUUGGUUCGAAAGGGGUCUCGUCAAGCCCUUGUCACGACCUCGCACCAUAGGUGAAUUCUUUUAUUACUAUUACUUUUUCCUUUUUACUUACCAAGCAUGCCCCUCCUUCCUUAUUAGAAACUUAAAUAGUAUCUGUUACUAAACCUGCAUACUUUUAUUAUCCUUGAUAAAGCUCUCAUAUGUUGCUAUAUCAAGUCGGGCGGCUUUAAUAUCUUACCACUUAUGUUCCCUGUACAAAGUAAUGUUCCUUCCCUUUUUAUAAUCACACUAGUUAGUUUGUGAUAAUAUUGUAUAUAUAUAACCAUUUGACUAGCCUUGUCUGAAGUCGUAUGUCUUUGAUUUCCCAUUAAAUUUAAUAUGUUAUUUGUUUUUUUUCAUUCAUUUUUUCAACAGAGGUCAAUGUGAUUCUCACUGCUCUAGGAGUUGCAUUUUCACCAUGGUCACACCCCCAUGGAUUAAGUGAUGCUUUUCAGUCCCAUCACUCGUUCUUUUUUUUUUUUUUUUAAUUUUAUAAAGUUUAACUAGAAAAGUUAACAACUGUAUUAGUUCACACACACUGUUGCUUGAAGAAUUUGUUCCAAAGUGGGCCUCUAAGUUAAGGAUCAAUAGACGGUUAUUGCUAAUUAAAUUUUUCCAUGAACUAAAAUUACUGGCAUUUUACUUUCUUAACAGUAUUCCAGUCGAAUUUCGUAAAAAAGGGACUUCCAUUCAACCAACUUAUUUUCUCACAGUGGCGAACAUACAUAGAGGCUGGUGGGGGCACUGUACCCCACUAGGUUUUAUAGGUUUUAAUAUAUUAUAUAUGAUACUCAUAUACAUGCAUAAACAUAGCUAGCUGAUUUUGUGAAAAAGGGGUUUUGUUUUAGUCUGCACAACUGAACAUCAUCUCGGGACAAAAAAAACAACAAAACAUAGUAAGAGAAAAAAAUGCGUGCAAACAGUGGACGUAAACAAUUUGGCGGGACGAAGGGAGUAUCUAUAAUAAUGUCUUAAAAAAAUAUUUUCGCCCCCACUAAAGCUUAUGACUGGCUCCGCCACUGCUCCGGAGUCCUUCUUUUUAUCCGGUUCGCACUCAAGGUAGAAUUGUAAUGGCAUGUUGCUUAGAGCAUCUCCAAUGGUGUUGGCUAUAAUCGUUGGCUAAAUUGGAUCCGUAAGACAUUAUGUAAAAUUUGCCGAACCUGUAAGACAUUGUGCUUCAUCCGUAAGACAUUAUGUAAAAUUUGCCGAACCUGUAAGACAUUGUGCUUCAAUGGUAUUAGCUAUAUUGGUUGGCUAUAAUUUAAAAAUAGUAUGUUAUUAAUAUUUAGAUUGUUAUAAAUAGAAUAUAUCAGUUUAAUAUGGUAAUAAAUAAUAUGUAAUCAGUGUGAAGGAGGAAAAUAAAUUGUGGGAGAUGACGUGGAAUUCGCUACAGAUCUGUAGCUGGGAGAUGACGUGGAAUUCGCUACAGAUCUGUAGCGGAUCGACAAAUAUAGCCAUCCAUAGGGGAUGACUAUAAUUAUACACAAAGGAUUGGUGUGGUUCGAGUUCUAUUUUUUGGGAACAUUGGCUAUAAAAUUUAAUUUCGGAAAAUCACAUGGACUUUUAGCCAAGGGCUUGUGAGGGUUGGAGAUGCUCUUACUACAUAAUUUUUUUUCAAAGAUACAUGCCAAGUACAAUAAAGACUGAUGAUGAUGAUGAGGAUGAGGAUGAGGAUGAUGAUGAGGAGGAGGAGGAGGAGGAGAAGGAGGAGGAGGAUGAUAAUGAUCUCGAAGAUGAUCCUCGAUAUAUUGAAGUUCUUAGAACAAUUUAGACAUCUCAUUUUUGGACCAACUAUAGAAAUCAAUUUGCUUUGGGAAUGUACAAUGAGUGGAGAAAUAGAAGUUAGAAAUCAGGUAAAUGUCUUGCCUCACCUCCAAGAACUCCAUUUCUCUCUUUCCUCACAUUAUUUUAAUCACCAGCCACAUAUUUUUUCUCUCAUGUAGUUCAAAGAUUUCUGAAAAUAGGGUUGCUCCUGAUGAAUACAAGGCUUGUGAGUCCCUUGAUUACAUCAAUUGGGGAACAGAGGUACUGUCUUAUGCUUGUGUAAUCCUCUCUGUAGCCAGUAUGCUUGUGUAAUCCUCUCUGUAGUCAGUUAGUAUAUAGGAUUGUUUGAUGUUUUCAACUACGUAUAUUAUGUUUUCGUAAUAUUAUGCUUAUAUGUCAGUCGUCACUGAUUUUGGAGCCACUGAUUUUUUCUGUUCAUAUACAUGGUUAAAGAAAAAAAACAGUUGUUGCUUCUACUUCUUUGACUCAGUCCAUGAGGAAGAUCCGACCUGAUGCAAAACAAGAAGAAUAUGUGUGAAAACAUAUAGAUAGCGAUUAUUUUAUUUUGAGUUAAUUACACUUUGUAACCCCUAAGUUUGCUCCUAACGCAAUUUAGUACCUGAACUUUAAAACGUGGCAAUAUACACCCUAAACUUAACAUUCUCAUGCAAUUUGUAACCCCUAGUCACUAUUCCGUCCAAAUCUGCUGUUAACUUUAACUGUUUGAGAGGUAACAGUGUGUAUAUUAGUUUCUAACAUCUACUUUACCCCCUGUGACCCCUCAAAAAUUAUGUAUUAUAUUUUGAAAUUAUUUCUGAACACACACAACGAUGUAAAAAAAAUUAAAAUAAUUUUUAAAAUAUGUAUCUAGAUUUAGAAUUUGAAAAUUUAUUUUUUUACAUAAACGAUGUAACUUAUUUUAAAAAAUUUAAAAUAAAUACAUAUUUUAAUAUAUUUUACAUCGUUGUGUGUGUUCAAAAAUAAUUUCAAAAUAUAAUAUAUAAACUUUGAGGGGUCACAGGGGGUAAAAUAGCUGUUAGAAACUAAUAUACACAUUGUUACCUCUCAAACAGUUAAAGUUAACGGUAGAUUUGGACGGAAUAGUGACUAGGGGUUACAACUUGCACGGGAAUGUUAAGUUUAGGGUGCAUAUUGCCACGUUUUAAAGUUCAGGUACUAAACAUCGUUUGGAGCAAACCUAGGGGUUACAAAAUGUAAUUAACUCUUUUAUUUUUGUUAAAUAGUCAUAGAUGUUUUUGCUUAAUUUAUAUCAAUAACUGUCAACUAAUUAAUAACUACCAAGAUAACUGAAGAAAGUAUUACAUCCAACUCUAAGCAUAUCUAUAUUUUAAUUUUAUUUGGUGUGAGAUAUGAACUGGCAUGGGAAUUGUUGCUAUUCCACGAGAUCAUCGCACCAUAUAAACCAUAGCCAGAAUCAUGCCAUCACCUUAUUUGAAUCUAAACAUAACUUUAUUUAUGAUCAGAAGAAGCACACCACAAGGUUUAUUUUCGAGGUUUAUUUUUGUUAUAUCUGUUCUUCCAGUCAUGGUUCUGAGUUAUUUUCGAGGUUUAUUUUUGUUAUAUCUGUUUGGACUUUUGUGUAGUUAUUGUGCAUAACUAAUGACUAUCAAACUAAUUAAAUGAGUAGAUUAUACACAAUGGACAGAACUUCUACUAUGAGUUUUUGUCGAAAUUCUUUGCUUGAUAUGUUGUUUUACAUCUUUUCUAUAUCUCUUAUUUGACAAUGUGUUCAAGAAUUAAGAAUAGUUGAAUGAUCUAUGUAUGAUUGUGUGUGUGUGUGUACACUCCAGUUGCAAUGUUUCAUUAGCUCAGUUAUAUUAUAUUUUCCUUGUAAAUCCAUUGAUUGGCAAGAAUUAUUGACACUGUUUACUUGGGAUCUGAUUUCAGAAUUUUCUUUUUAAUACUUAUUCCUAAUGGUUGAGUACAAGUGUACAACUGUAAUUUGAGAGUUGUUAUUGUGAAAGUGGAUAGUUUUAGUAGCAUUCUUCAUUCCUGGCAUGAAAUGGUGAUAUGUUUCUGAUUUUGCUUAAAUUCAUUUAUAUGAUCAGGUGCUCAUACAAUUGAAAAUGCUCACUGUAAUUCCUUCUCGAGCCGGCUAUACAAUUUACUGGAGGAGAUGAUCAAGAUCCUGCAUUAGACAAGUGAAUAUGCUUCUGUCGAAGCCGCUCUUAUAAUUACAUCACUUUGCUACUUUUAUGAAAGGAAGAUUCUCGUUUUAAGAAAAUUAAACACUAAUGUAAAGUGAAGCCGCUCUUAUAAUUACAUCACUUUGCUACUUUUGAGAACUGAAGAUUCUCGUUUUAAGAAAAUUAAACACUAAUGUAAGGUUGUUGUUUGGGGCCGACCCGAAACUUUUAUUUGUGUAUAAGGUUGAGAAAUUUACUUGUUUAUUUUAGUGAGCAUUAGGUUCUUAUGAUUUGUGUAAAACUUAUGCAAAUAACUAGAAAUUUUAUUUUGCUUGUUGUAGUAA
rnacentral:lncRNA from 1 species